CUUUAUUUUGAAAUAUGCAGAUAAAGGCUACUUUACUGAUGAAAAAUAAGUGAUUGGUUUCAUUUUUAGUGAAAAUCAAAGUUUUCAAAAGAAGAAGAAGGAAAAAAACCAAACAACUCACCCACCAUCAGUCAACCAGAAAAAAAAAGCAAUAGAAAUAUAUUUUCCAGAUCAAAGACAGAUUUCAGUGUUCCUAACUGCUAGGUUAUAAUUAAAAAUGAGACAAGAACAAUUAAAGAGAAGAUUUCAAGUUAUUCACAAUUAUAACUUCGAUAUGGUUCAGGAAAGAUGAAACUCAGGGCUAGACUGUGCUUGAUCACACGUGGAAACAGAUCUGCUAUACCAACUUAGUUAGCUGGUUAGUGCAUGUAAGGAAAUAUUGGCUUUAGAAAUUCAUACAUUGGAGCUGGAAGACCUGUGAAGCAGCAGAGCUUUCAAUUACCCUACUAGAGGCACUAGACAUUUGAAAAGUAACCCCAGGUAUUUUUUUGUCCCUGGCCCCAGUAAAAGACUGUAUCACUAGAGUGACACAAUACUGUAGAGAACGUGACAUUAUUUUAAUAUAUCAGCUGUAUACAGAAAUGGCUUAAAGUGGUUAUACAGACUUGAUCUAUUUACUUUUUGGCCCCUGUAACACAAUUGCUUUUCUCUCAACAGUUUGGUGCAUCAUUCAGAUCUCACAGCAUGAGCUUUUUUCUUCGUCACAUUUUUUUUCUUUUUCUCACUAACAACCACAUGGAUAUUUGUUUUUGUCUUUCAGUGAAGAUCCUAUUAAUGCCCUCAGGUAUAAACAGAACAGCCUGGAGAAUCAAACACAAAACUCUCCACUCAUGUAGAGUGUCAGUUCCAGAAGGAACAUGUGAUUAACAAAAUAAGAACAUAUAUAUGAAUAUUUUAUUUGCCACUAUAACUCAAAAUAAUACAAUACAAUACAAUACUAAAAAUAAUUUUGAAUGCUCAAUAUGCAGUAGAGUUCAGAUUACAUAAUAUGUUGUAUAAAUUAUGUAGAAAUAGAUUUAAAAUUAUUUGAAACAGCUAUAUUAAUUAAUAGUAGAAUUAGGCAGUUAACGUUAUCAGUGGAGCAUUUCUGGAUAAUGAACAUAAGGCUCCAACUAACUUAUUUGCUAAUAAUAUUAAUUAUCUGCUCUGAGUUUACUACUCUGAAAUUAGUAUUUAAGAAAUAGCAGAAAUACCGAAAUGAAAUGAUUUACAGCCUUCCUGCUGCCUGAUGUCGGCAGCACAGUGAUAUACAACAGGAUCCGGGAGAGCACAAGCACUUUCUUGUUCAGCUAAGCAAUUUGCUUGGAUGCUUAGAGGAACCCACUUUUUAUCACAGAAGGAGAAGAUUCAAAUCUUCUCCAUCUGUGAUAUAAAGGAAAGUAUCUGUUGCCCUAGAAAAGGUCCUUCUAUGCUGUAAAUGGAAGUGCAGAGUAGAUGAAAUGCAAGCCAUCUAAACCUUGUAUCUGCAAUGAAAUGAAUCAUUUUAUCUUAGGUUUCUGAAUGAUGCUUGUUACCAUAGCCUCAGCGUAGCCUACAGUCACAGAUGAGCUUGCCUUCUCAUCUGCUUAACACAAUAUUUUGCAAACUUCAUAAAUAUUUAGCUUAGCAUUUAGAGAAGCCACCUCUAAAUUGGGUGCCUCAUUAUCUAGGUACUUCACCUGAGAUGCUCAAGUCAUGUCUUAUAACUACUAUCCACUUGUGACUUCAUCUGGCUUCAGCUGUACUGACUUAUUAUCAUCUAUGGAAAGAGACCCAGGCUGUCUGAGGCUGGGAGCCCAGAAAGCAAGGAAUAUAUUAUUAGCAGCCCAGUGUGAUUGUUGUCUUAGUAUAAAACAAAAAUCCACAAUGUUUCAGUCUGGAAUCAACUUCUACCGCAGACUGCACUGAUCCUGACUUUACUAAGUUUAUAGCUAUCUGUUUAAAUUCUUAUUGCUAACCUCAUCCUUUGAAACAAUGCAUGUGGUUCUUUCGUUUAUAUAUACAAGCUGCAUGGUGAAAAUAGUAGCGCAAUCCCUUCCAAAAGACAGGGUGUGCCAGUCAAGCUGAAUUCUUACAUAUGUGCCCUAGUAAAAUGUCAGUAUGACAGUCCUCACAACUAUAACAACAAGAAGGUUCCCAAAAAAACUCCAGAGGAUUCUUCUGAUUGACAUUUGUUCUUAUACUGUGCAAACAAAAAUUGGCAAAUACAUUUUAAGGAAGAUUUUCUCUGCAUUUACAUUUAAACCAAUGUAAAGAAUCAGAAAAUUUGGAUUUUACCUUCAAGGAAGAAUUAGACUCCAUCUACACUGCGGAAUAUAUUACUUCCAUAAAGAAGGCAUUUGAUUAGAGAUUAUAAAUGCUUGAUUGUAAAUGGAACUUUUCUCAUAGUACAUGACUGACACGUAGAGAACAUUAAUUUUCAUGUCUCUUUUUCUUUUCCUUUCUCACCAUCAUGCAGCAAAUGCUUGAGUGCCUAGGGGAUACAGUCUGGUUUCCAGAAAGCCUCCUUUUGGAGAUCAGGAGAGCUAGAGUAUUGGGCAGAAGUAUUUCCCACCUCCCUCCUCCUUGCCAAGCCCUCCAAUAUCCCAGAAAUUUGUUAGGUUUGAUGGAAGCUCAUAUGAAUGCCUAACUUGUCUGUGCCCAGUACUGUGUUGAGCACAAUGACUUUGGGAAGCUAGAAGUGCACUUUGUUGUGUUGCAGCCCAGGUGUGCCAUGUGCUGAACAUCAUUGUAAGGGAUAGGACUGGCUCCUGCCAAGAACUUCAGAUUCCAUGUCCUUUUUCCUUUGAAGACUCAUUACAUGAUCCUAUUUAUUCUACCUGAGCCUUAGCACUUUGGGUCUGCUAGGAUAAAGACCUUCCUCGAAUGCACUUCCUAGGCUCAUUCUAGGUCUUCCAUUUGAUCUGUGUGGUGCAAUGCAAGAGGCAACAAGCCCACCCAGAGCACCGGAGUAGUACAGAAAAGCAUUAGUAGUGGUCCAUGCGAGCCAGAUGAGAACUGCUGCUAAAUUGGGGUUCAUAAAACCUAUUUGUUUCCUGGCAAAGACACUGGUUCUUCUUUGCUCUGCAUUUUCUCUGAGCAGCUAUACCUCCUUCAUGAAGGGCAUGCCUGCAGCCCUUUCUCUUUGAUCUGUAGAUUACUCUGUAAAAGGUGCGGCUUCGUAAUCUGAUUUUAGUUACCUAAUUUAGGUAGUGUUAAGAGUCCACAUCCUAAGAUACCUACAUUUCUCUGCAAGCUGUUACAGAGAAUUUAGGCUCUUGAAUAAAGGUAUUGCAUAUCAAACAAUCAAAUGGCUUGAAAACAGAUGUUGUAUUUGUUCUUUGAAGCCCAGAAGAAUGGAGAUCAAAUCACAGCUACAACUUAUUAUUCUAUAACCCAGAUAUUUACUUCAAGAAACAAUUAUCAGAAAGUUAAUCAGAGAAUUACAGAGCAUACUGAGUUGGAAAGGACCUGCAAGGAUCAUUGAGAUCAGCUCCUGGCUCCACACAGAACCACCAAAAAUUUAAAUCCUAUGUCUUAGAGCAUUGUCCAAAUGCUCUCUGAAAUACAGCACCUCAUGGCCAUGACCACUUCCUUGGAUAGCCUGUUUGUGCCCACCAAUGUAUGGUGCAGAAUCUUUCCCUAAUACCCAACCUGACCCUCACCUGAUGGAGCUCCAAGCCAUAAAUGUUGGAACAAAAUGAAUUGCUGAAAAGAAAUUUGACUUCUGGCUCACUGUUCUCCUUUCUUGGGCUUUUAUUCAGUUCAAAGUAAGUCAAGAGAGAAUUAUUUCAGAGCUACCAAAGUACUCCGUAUGGGAAGAGUUCCCUUACAGCAUCUGGUAACAAAGAGAAGUGAGUGGCUGCACCAUAGGGUUACAUUCCUGGUGUGCAGUACCUUACGAUACUGUUGUUGGAGAAUAAGUAAAUGAAAAGUUGAAGUGGUUGUGGGGCUGCAACUAAUGACUGGAAAUAUACAGAAGUGACAACUUUGACAAAUGCUCCUACAGCCAAACACUACCGAGGUAACUACCCUAGCUGCAGCCAGCAAUGAUAAAGUGAAAGGUCUUGAAACAACAAUCAUAGAAAUCAUAAACAUUACUGUCUCUUUUUGAAUUAAGAGAGUAUGUUUUUAUUCUUUGUAAUAGUAAAGCACUGAAGUAACCUACUGGAGGGCCUAAAAGAACUCAUGUUGAAGAUCAGCAUUGCAGAGCUAAUGAUGAUAGCCAGACACAGGGAGGUAGCAAGAGCAACAGUGAAGCUAGGGAGCAGCAAAAGCAAAGAAAAAUGGCCUGUGCUUCUUAGAUUUGCUAAGGAGAUGAGACUAUGUUUGGACACAUUCCUUGGACUUAAGAAAGUUAAUAAACCUUCCUUCACCAAAGUCCUUAUGCAGAUUUAUUACUUCUUUUAGUGGCUUACUGUUUAAUAUUGUCUCUUUGCCCUGUUAUUAAUCUCACAUUCAUUCAGGCCUCUUUGACUUCUGGAGGGACUCCUCAUGCUUUGUGCCUUCAUCUCCCAGGUUUCAGAGAGGGAGGCUUAAAGCACAGGUGAGUGCUUUUCAGUCUGAAUGAGCAUAAUUGAGUAAUGAUUGCUACCAUCGAGGCAACCAAAAACUUCCAGUUCAUCAUUAUCUUUCAUAAUGGGAUCUAAAGCUGACUGACUGCAUGAGCAGUACAGCACCUCUUGUGCUGAAUUAUUACUCUGCAUUUUUAGGAGCUCUUACUACAGUCUUUCACAGAAUGUUCCUCCCUUUGCACUUGUUCUUAGAGAGAAGAUCUGUGUGACUACAGCUCACUGGAUGGUGCAGUACUUUCCCCUGCAUCUGAGAGUUCUUUCCUGGCUGUGUGGUUUUGUGUCUGAAUACAGCACCUCUGAAAUCAGUACAAAGGUUUUAUGACUGGUGGGAGCUCAAUCUUCCCUUGCAUUCUGGAAGCCAGGGGACAGGUGGGAAUGUGAUGUGUCAACUGGAGAAAGAUGUGUAGACCUAUUGCCUUGCAGCUCGUUGGAGAAGACUGCAGCUGGGGGCCCCUGCAGUGCCAUGGAGUCAGGUCUUGGAGCAACAUAACCAUGGAAGCACCAAAUGUCUUCCAUCAGACCUAAGGGUGAGCUUUUUUUCCCCAUCUAAAGGCCAGAUAAUCCUUCUGCCCACCACAAGAACACAUAAUCAAAUUUAAAAAAUAAUAUCCCCCAAACCAAAAAUUUUUCUUCUGGGGUCAUUUCAGUUAUUUCAGUUAGGUGAAGCAAGCAAUAACUGACAAAGGAAUAUUUUUAUCUUGAGGGCUUUUCCCAUCUGCUUCUAAUGAUCCUCUUGACAGCCUUGUAGAGAAUUCUGACUGAGUGGGACAUUAAAGAGCAAGACUGCAUGAACUUUUCAUGCAUUACAUUUUCAAGUAUUGUUCACGUACCUCAUAGAUGGCAUAAUCGAUGUGCCUGCUGGCAUUCCUCUGCAAAAAAAAAAAAAAAAAA